rnacentral:rRNA from 1 species
UACGUAGGGAGCAAGCGUUGUCCGGAAUCAUUGGGCGUAAAGCGCGCGUAGGCGGCCCUGUAAGUCCGCUGUGAAAGUCAAAGGCUCAACCUUUGAAAGCCGAUGGAUACUGCAGGGCUAGAGUCCGGAAGAGGCGAGUGGAAUUCCUGGUGUAGCGGUGGAAUGCGCAGAUAUCAGGAGGAACACCAGUAGCGAAGGCAGCUCGCUGGGACGGUACUGACGCUAAGGCGCGAAAGCCAGGGGAGCAAACGGG